GGGGGUGACCAAUAGUCGAAAAAUACGCCCGCUGCCAUUUCGCAAUCCGUCACUGCUUGAUGUGACGCAAAUACCUCAAGCACUCACACAAAUGCAAAAAGCAUUGUAAGCAGAGCAACAGACGCGAUCGCGCGAGCGUUCGCCGUUCCAAGCUUUGCGCCAGUUGUAGCCUAAUACGCUCGCAACCGUCAGCACCCUAGGCCUGAAUGGGGUGAUCCUGGCGCCAUACUUCAGGACGCAGCCGGAGUGAGCCUCGCGCCCCGGUAAAGCAUACGAGGAUAGUGGUACGCAUGUUUUGCCCGUUUAGAGUGCGUGCCGCGAAUACACUAAACAGGCUAUGAUUGUAGACACAUGCCAGCGCACUAUUUUCACGCGGGAGAAUAGCCCGCCACCUCCACCA
rnacentral:tmRNA from 1 species